GCACCCAUAUUCUAUAACUAUUUAAUAUAAAUUAGCCAGUGCCAUACAAUACAAUCUAUGAACAAUUAAACCGUAGUAUUGUAUAAGGACAGAGCUGGAUGAAUUGCCAUGCACAAAAUGUGUUUCUGAAACAUUUUUCUGCUACAGCUAAAAUUUCUUCAACUCAGUCCCUGCUGAGAGUGCCUGCAAAGUUUAAUAUAGCUUAUCCAGACAGCUUUCACAAUAAGCUGAAGGUGAACCAGCCCAACAUAGUUGCUAGUGAAACUGAAAUGGAAAUAGUUCUUUCCCGAUCCUUAUUAUUGUGGUUAAAGUGCAGAGGAAUUCUCUUAGGGUUCAUCUAGACUUUUGAAACGUGUUGCAACAUGGUGGGUUUCACUGCUGUAUUUCAAGAGAGUGUGCCAUGCAGGCAGCCACUUGGCCUGGAAGGACUUGAAGACUAGCUAGUCCAAUGGCAAAUCACUAUGAGCUUUGGACCUGAGCUAUUUGUUGUUGGAAAACAUCUGUGGUAAUGGGCUAGGCAUCUCUUCCUGACACGAUUUUCCAUUUUGUCAAAACUUGCUCAUUUCACCAUCUAAAAUGGAAUUGUCUUAGACCCUCUCUGAUACUUAUAUUUCUGAUGCUAGACUUGUGCUGCAACUACUGUUCUCAAUAGUGCUUGAUAUCCUUUCUAAAACAUCAUCCUUUGGAAUAACAAGGUGCCUGUCAAAGUUGCCAGUAUGUGUAGGCAUCAUAGAGCUGUACAGGGACCAUACAGUGUUGCUCAUUCUGCAAAGUAAAGUAAGCCAGCAGCACCGGAAAAAUGUGCAAGGAGAUGCGAAUGUUCCAUACUGCCAGAAGGCACAGAGGAAAGUUGUGGGUGUUGUUGAUUCUGCUACCAAAUAUUUUGAUACCAAUUACAGAGUGGUACAGGCAGGGAUGUUUUCAGCACACCAACGAGACAGAAGUACAAAUACUGAGUCAGAGCUAAAAAGUGUGGAAAAUCACUUGCACCGCAACAGAUGUAUAACAGAAGACACUUAUGUAUAGCAGAGAAUGAAUCAGAGAGGCCAGGCACAACACUGCAUUUUAUGCAGAGGGUGAUGGUUUAUGUCUUGCACAUGAAGUUGUUGGAAUAUUUUUGUUUCAAUUGCCAGUCUUAAGACAACCUGUAGGUAUUAACUGUUUCCCAUGCUAACAUCUGAAUAGGCUUUUUAAAAAUGAAGUAUUUUCCUUAUCUUUAUGAGUAGAACUUCCUUGGUUGGUCAUGUUUGAAUCUACAGAAACUGUAGCUAUCAGGCUCUUUUCUGAGGUAGAUUUUCUUAGUCCAUCUAUUAAUUUAGCUUUAUUUGUCCUUGACUCCUUAUCAUUUUCUUGUUCAACAUAUCAGUCUUGACUUAUGGCAUGUUUUAACCCUGGAACUAGCUUUUGUACCACCAUAAAUUUACUUCUACAAAGGUAACCUGUGUCUUGAACUGAACCCUACCUAUAUUGUAUAUACUUUUAGUUUGCAAAUGCUACCAUGUGUGACAAGCAGAGGACAUUCACAGGGUAGCUACACUGUAAAGUGACUCAAUCAAGGAUAGAAAUUGGUUUGGGCAGGACAAGGAGUGGUUUCUAUCCAUGGUAUAUGUCCCCUGAUCUUUCAGGAAAAUGUUAAUGAGUGCAGUUGUCAUGAAUAGAAUGAAAGAGUGAAACAAAGAACAAUUCCACACUGGCUGUCCAAAAUUGCACAGCUAGUAAGAAGGACAUGGGGAAAAUGGAUUAGUUUUUUUUUUCCAUAGGAGCUGUUUUUCCCAGCAACAUGAUGAUGUAGCAAAGUACUGGGCUGAGGAAACAUCUUUCUCCAAUGGUGUUUCUCAAAUUUCCUUUUCCACUGCAGUGUUUUAUCUAUAUUUGUUUAUAAUAUUGCAAAUUUAUCCAUCAUCAUAAUCAUCAUCAUCAUCUUUUUUUAUAAUGCCCUUUCCACCAAAGAGUAGAACAUCAAGCACAUACUGUAUAAUUAAAAACAGAUGAUAAAACACAAGGCCAUAAAAUGCUAAAAUACUAAAAUAAUAUGCUAAUAUACUAAAACAAACCCCUUGAACAGUUCUACUUAAACCCAGCUAUAUGGGCUGUGUGGUCCUGUUGCCAUUGAGAUGUAAGCUGCUGAGCAGAACUGCAGUCUUUCUAAAAUCUAAAAGUAGCACCAGCAACUUUCAUUAUAAGAUUUUUGUGCCUGUCAUACUUUUUGAAAACUGAAUAAUCAUUUUGGUGUGGAGCUCAUGACUGCAGUAUAUUCAGACAAAAGGGAAAAUGGCACCAGCAUUUUUCAGGAGGUAAAGUAUGUUAGGCUAUUGAACAAUCAGUGCUUUUGGGGGGAGAGGAGAUACCAAUAAAUAGAGAGAACACUGUUUUGACUCUUUUUUGCCCAACAAAAUAAUUCUCUAUUUUAUUUUCAACUAUUUAUUCAGUCUUGGUCUUCUGCCAGUUUAUGAUGAUUUCUUGAAGUCCCUCUCUGCAGACUGCCUAAGGUGGCUUGCUUUCAAUUACAUUCUCCCUUGUGAGCCUGAUAAACACCACCAGCCUGUUGUAUGCCCCAAGAGGUGAUUUGUUCAGAUUUGGCAAGGGUGUGGAAAGUGAAGGAGAAGAGGCAUUUUCAUUGUGCAAAAUAAAUAUACUUACUGUGGCCUUCUGUCUGGAGGAAACAUUGGAUAACAUAAGAAUUUUAUUGGCCACUGAUGAAGACUGUGAGUUGGAAUGCGUUUGACUUCUGUUUUUAUGAAGAAUCUGAUGAGACCUUGGGGCAUCUAUUUUCCUUCGACAAAUGAUUUAUACCUUAUAGACCUUCUCCCAUAUUGCUGUUUAUAGUUUGGACUGUUUAGUUUUAAUUUGAAAAAUUUAUUAUUUUAGAAAUCUAUUUUAUUUGUUAUAUACUGUUACAUACACACACAUUUUAUAUUAUAUGCUUUCUAAAUGUGUGGCACUACAGAUAUAAGUAGAAAUAGUUUGGGGAUUAUAGGAGUUGUAGUCUAAAUCAUUUGAAGGAUGCUGGGUUGGACUGCCUCAAAUCCCCACCCCCCAAAGAGACGACAGCUGCAUUCUUCCUGUCUCUUAAGUGGUUGCCAUGUUCUUUAUUUUUAGAGAUUGAAUUGAGCCUCCUAGAUGGAUGUAAAAAGUUUUGGAUUCUUAGUAAAAGGCCCUGCACAAAAUGUUGCCUCUUACACAAGUUGUAUUAAGCCUCCUUCUUGAGGAGCUGUCAGCCUGAAUGCCCUCAAAAUUUAGCUUUCACAGUUUUCCAUCUGGGUCUUGGAUGAAGCCGAAAAACUGUUUCAGAUUUGUCUGUUCUUAAGAGAGAAAAUUAAAGUCAUAUACACACACCUGCUAAAUUAAAAUGUUAACAGUUUUCCCAACAAUUCCUUGUCUCCAUGCCAAAUACUAUAUAUGUGACUACAUAUGUAACUACAUGUCUUCACUAGUGCUUAAAAAGCCUUAUUCUGACCCAGUGCUUAGCAGCAUGAAAUUGCAUCCCCAGUAUAUCAUACUCUCCAAGUGCCCCAAUUUGGCAGGGACUGUCCUGAUUUAUCUGACUGUCCCACUUUCUCAGCAGCUUUAAAGAUGUCCCAGUUUCACUCUGUACCUUCCACUUUGUCUCUUUAUCUUCAGCUUAUUGCUGAAAAAUGAGUCCAAAGUAGAAAAGUAGGUUGCACUCAAUUAACUCAGCAGGGAGGAAGAAGAUGGGAGAGGAGACAAUCUUGCACUUCCCAAUAGGCUUAGGCAAAAGCAAAUUGCUGCAGCCUCUCCUAGCUUGUGUCUUCUUUAUCAGUUACUUCUGCCAUCUUGACCAUGCUAUGAUGAUGAUUGGCCACAGAUAUCUAGGUUUUCAACUGUGAAAUCUGUAUGUGCAUUGUGAUUCUCUUGUAAAUCGGCACCUGUUGUUAAAUACAUAAAAAUCUAGCAUAGUUGCUAAUGA